AUCUGAUGGUCUGGGCAUUUGCAUAAUAGGUCCCUAAAGCGCUCCUAGGUCUAAAAAAAAAGUUCCCCAUCCAUUUAUGAGAAAAUAGUGAUUGCCUUUCUAAGUU